rnacentral:rRNA from 1 species
AAUCAACGCUGGCGGCGUGCCUCAGACAUGCAAGUCGAACGAUUAAGACUCCCUUCGGGGAGUGCAUAAAGUGGCGCACGGGUGAGUAACACGUAAGUAAUCUACCUUCGAGUGGGGAAUAACGUUCGGAAACGAACGCUAAUACCGCAUAAUGCAGCGGCAUCUAUGAUGACAGUUGUUAAAGAAUUUAUUCGCUUGAAGAGGAGCUUGCGGCAGAUUAGCUAGUUGGUAAGGUAACGGCUUACCAAGGCGACGAUCUGUAUCCGGUCUAAGAGGACGGUCGGACACACUGACACUGAAUAACGGGUCAGACUCCUACGGGAGGCAGCAGUCGGGAAUUUUGGGCAAUGGGCGAAAGCCUGACCCAGCAACGCCGCGUGAAGGAUGAAGUUUUUCGGAAUGUAAACUUCGUAAGAAUAGGAAGAAUAAAUGACGGUACUAUUUGUAAGGUCCGGCUAACUACGUGCCAGCCGCCGCCGUAAUAC